GGAGCCACCGAGCCGCCCAACCUUCUCCAGGUGACGUUUCAACACAAAGUUAAAGUCCAAUUGAGUUCGCAGUGAAGGAAAUGUCUGCAGAAGUCCUUUAAAAUGGCUCUACCUGGGUACUGAGGGCUCGAACGUCUCGUGGGACGUGCAGCCUGUUGGAGGCCUUUGGUGUCAUCAUGACGGAGACGAUCUCAUCCAGGCUAUCGUCUCCUGAACGUCCGUCUGUCAUCAGCGUAGUCUGGGACCCAUAUUUUCUCAACACAGGAGAGCGAACGCUGAUGGGACUUAGUGGGACUGUGGAGAAAAAAAAUCAACAAAACUU